GCUUGGAUAGCUCACUUGGUUAGAGUGUGGUGCUGAUAAUUCAAGACACAAGGGAGAAACAUGCUAAGAGGAAGGCAGGUUUGGCAAAUCCACACCGUGAUCAACUCCUGCCCGGAAACCAAUGUCCCCACUGUGGAAGGAUGUGUGGUUCCAGAAUUGGCCUCCACAGUCACUUACGGACUCAUUGUUAAAACCGUGUUUCUGGAAGACAAUCUUACUCGGCUAUAAGUGAUCGCCAAAGAAGAAGAAGGUGCUGAUAAUGCCAAGGUUGCAGGUUCAAUCCCUGUAUGGGACA